rnacentral:rRNA from 1 species
UACGAAGGGUGCGAGCGUUAAUCGGAAUUACUGGGCGUAAAGCGCACGUAGGCGGUUUGAUACGCGGAAUGUGAAAUCCCCAGGCUUAACCUGGGAACUGCGUGUGAUACUGGAUGGCUUGAAUUCGGGAGAGGGAUGCAGAAUUCCAGGUGUAGCGGUGAAAUGCGUAGAUAUCUGGAGGAAUACCGGUGGCGAAGGCGGCAUCCUGGACCGACAUUGACGCUGAACGGCGAAAGCUAGGGGAGCAAACGGG